rnacentral:rRNA from 1 species
AUCAUUAUUGAGUUAGGGUCCUCUGGGCCCCAUCUCCAACCCUUGUCUAUCCUACCAUGUUGCUUUGGCGGGCCCGUUCUCAACCGGACCGCUGGGGACUCGCUUCCCUAGCCCGUGCCCGUCAGUAGCCCCUAACAACUCCAAGUCACGGUGAUGUCUAAGUAGAACUAUAAUGAACUAAAACUUUCAACAACGGAUCUCUUGGUUCUGGCAUCGAUGAAGAACGCAGCGAAAUGCGAUAAGUAAUGUGAAUUGCAGAAUUCAGUGAAUCAUCGAAUCUUUGAACGCACAUUGCGCCCCUUGGUAUUCCGGGGGGCAUGCCUGUCCGAGCGUCAUUGCAACCCUCAAGCUUUGCUUGGUAUUGGGCGUUCGCUCCCCCGUUUCGGGGGCGGCGCGCCUGUAAAUUAAUGGCGGCCCCGGGGGGACCUCAAGCGCAGUAGAACCUUUUCGCUUGGGCGGUGCCACCCGGGGCCCGGCCGUCAACCUCUCCAUCGAUCAAUGAUUGACCUCGGAUCAGGCAGGGAUACCCGCUGAACUUAAGCAUAUCAAUAAGCGGAGGA